GGAAAAGUAUCUAACUUAGAGGAUGAGGAUCUACUGACAAAGUGAGAACCUAUGAUGUCCGGGUGUCAGACUCUGCAGAGAAGAUGGAGCUGGAAGAUGUCCUGACGUCUGGACCAGAUGGAGAAGGAAAGAAAAGACAACCGAGAAGACGUCACUCAGCCUGAUUCUUCUUCAAUAAAAAGACAGCCUUGGACUGCUAGGACGUACACAAGACCAAUGGGCAGUCAACCCACCACUAUAAAAAGGACAAGGCAAAUAAAGUAUAGUCAC